UGGGCAACCUGCCCUCAGCUCUGGGAUAACCCUCGGAAACGGGGGCUAAUACCGGAUAUGACGGCUCACCGCAUGGUGUGGUUGUGGAAAGUUUUUCGGUCUGGGAUGGGCUCGCGGCCUAUCAGCUUGUUGGUGGGGUGAUGGCCUACCAAGGCGACGACGGGUAGCCGGCCUGAGAGGGCGACCGGCCACACUGGGACUGAGAUACGGCCCAGACUCCUACGGGAGCA
rnacentral:rRNA from 1 species